GAUGAACGCUGGCGGCGUGCCUAAUACAUGCAAGUCGAGCGAACAGACGAGAGUGCUUGCACUCUCUGACGUUAGCGGCGGACGGGUGAGUAACACGUGGGUAACCUACCUAUAAGACUGGGAUAACUUCGGGAAACCGGAGCUAAUACCGGAUAAUAUUUAGCUUCGCAUGAAGCAAUAGUGAAAGACGGUUCUGCUGUCACUUAUAGAUGGACCCGCGGUGUAUUAGCUAGUUGGUGAGGUAACGGCUCACCAAGGCAACGAUACAUAGCCGACCUGAGAGGGUGAUCGGCCACACUGGGACUGAGACACGGCCCAGACUCCUACGGGAGGCAGCAGUAGGGAAUCUUCCGCAAUGGACGAAAGUCUGACGGAGCAAUGCCGCGGGAGUGAAGAAGGUUUUCGGAUCGUAAAACUCUGUUGUAAGGGAAGAACAAGUACGUUAGUAACUGAACGUACCUUGACGGUACCUUACCAGAAAGCCACGGCUAACUACGUGC
rnacentral:rRNA from 1 species